AGUGGACGCUGGCGGUAGGCCUAACACAUGCAAGUCGAACGGCAGCACAGUAAGAGCUUGCUCUUACGGGUGGCGAGUGGCGGACGGGUGAGGAAUACAUCGGAAUCUACUUUUUCGUGGGGGAUAACGUAGGGAAACUUACGCUAAUACCGCAUACGACCUACGGGUGAAAGCAGGGGAUCUUCGGACCUUGCGCGAUUGAAUGAGCCGAUGUCGGAUUAGCUAGUUGGCGGGGUAAAGGCCCACCAAGGCGACGAUCCGUAGCUGGUCUGAGAGGAUGAUCAGCCACACUGGAACUGAGACACGGUCCAGACUCCUACGGGAGGCAGCAGUGGGGAAUAUUGGACAAUGGGCGCAAGCCUGAUCCAGCCAUACCGCGUGGGUGAAGAAGGCCUUCGGGUUGUAAGGCCCUUUUGUUGGGAAAGAAAAGCAGCAGGUUAAUACCCCGCUGUUCUGACGGUACCCAAAGAAUAAGCACCGGCUAACUUCGUG
rnacentral:rRNA from 1 species